GUGCCAGCCGCCGCGGUAAUACAGAGGGUGCAAGCGUUAAUCGGAAUUACUGGGCGUAAAGCGCGCGUAGGCCGUCGAGUAAGUCGGUUGUGAAAUCCCCGGGCUUAACCUGGGAAUUGCAGUCGAUACUGCUUGGCUAGAGUGUGGAAGAGGGAAGCGGAAUUUCCGGUGUAGCGGUGAAAUGCGUAGAUAUCGGAAGGAACACCAGUGGCGAAGGCGGCUUCCUGGUCCAACACUGACGCUGAGGCGCGAAAGCGUGGGGAGCGAACAGGAUUAGAUACCCUGGUAGUCCACGCUGUAAACGAUGAGAACUAGAUGUUGGGGGGGUAUAACCCCUCAGUGUCGCAGCUAACGCGUUAAGUUCUCCGCCUGGGGAGUACGGCCGCAAGGUUGAAACUCAAAGGAAUUGACGG
rnacentral:rRNA from 1 species